GUUUAUAGCAGUUCUUUCUUGAAACUUUCAGGACUAUGUAAGCAGUUUUCCUGCCCUGAGGCUGUCAUGCUGAGAUGAAUCCUAUAGUAGCCACUGUGCAGACCAGCCUGAGGCUCCAUGAAGACUGACAGAGACAGAGUGGCCACAGCUGAUGCAGUCCCCACUGCCACUGCCCCUGGUCUAACCCUAAGCCAGCGCUGCCCCCCAAGCUCUUCCCACCACACCUAUACCUUACAGUAGUGCAUCCUGCCCGUGACGGUGAGAUGACACACUGCCUACUGAGAUGAAUGCGGUGAGUGACACAGGCGUUGCAAUGCACAUUAGACUACUGCAUGAGCCUUACUUGAACCCAGUGCUGGAACCCUGCAACAGUGAGUUGUGCUAACACCGACAGCUGCAAGUGACUAAUGGACAGGCGACA
rnacentral:lncRNA from 1 species